GACGAACGCUGGCGGCGUGCUUAACACAUGCAAGUCGAACGGACAGGCCCUGCUUUUGUGGGGUGCUCGAGUGGCGAACGGGUGAGUAACACGUGAGUAACCUGCCCUUGACUUUGGGAUAACUUCAGGAAACUGGGGCUAAUACCGGAUAGGAGCUCCUGCUGCAUGGUGGGGGUUGGAAAGUUUCGGCGGUUGGGGAUGGACUCGCGGCUUAUCAGCUUGUUGGUGGGGUAGUGGCUUACCAAGGCUUUGACGGGUAGCCGGCCUGGGAGGGUGACCAGCCACAUUAGGACUGAGAUACGGCCCAGACUCGUACGGGAGGCAGCAGUGGAGAAUAUUGCACAAUGGGCGGGAGCCUGAUGCAGCAACGCCGCGUGCGGGAUGACGGCCUUCGGGUUGUAAACCGCUUUCGCCUGUGACGAAGCGUGAGUGACGGUAAUGGGUAAAGAAGCACCGGCUAACUACGUG
rnacentral:rRNA from 1 species